UACGUAGGGUGCGAGCGUUAAUCGGAAUUACUGGGCGUAAAGCGUGCGCAGGCGGCGCGUUAAGACAGGUGUGAAAGCCCCGAGCUUAACUUGGGAAUUGCGCUUGUGACUGGCGUGCUGGAGUGUGGCAGAGGGAGGUGGAAUUCCACGUGUAGCAGUGAAAUGCGUAGAGAUGUGGAGGAACACCGAUGGCGAAGGCAGCCUCCUGGGCCAGCAUUGACGCUCAUGCACGAAGCGUGGGAGCAACAGG
rnacentral:rRNA from 1 species